GCGAGUGCGAGCGCGCGUGUCGGUGUGUCUGCGCGUGUGUCUGUGCGUGUGCAAGGCGCGUGCAAGGCUCGUGUGCUUGUCGGCGUGCGAGGCGGGUGUGCGAGGCGCGCGCCAGACUCCCCCUUCCCCCCCUUCCCCUACACGUUGAUCUUAUUCGAUCGGCCGGGCCGGGCCGGGCCGAGGUGAGAAGAACGGCGCCGCGAAGCCCACGGGCGCUGUGCGGCGGCCAGCGGCGGGCGGGAUGAGUCGAUCAGAUAGGCGAGGCCGCGGCCGCUGAGCGCCCUGCGAUUCUGACCCGC